ensembl:snRNA U4 U4 spliceosomal RNA
AGCUUGGUGCAGUGGCAGUAUCGUAGCCAAUGAGGUUUAUCCGAGGCGUGAUUAUUGCUAAUUGAAUGGAGAGUAGACAGGUAUAGAGGUGAGGAAAGAAUAUUCUAGGUGGAGGGAGUACUCUGAGGAGAGGCAUUGGAAAUAGGACUCUGGACUAUGGGUUUGGUUAAAAAAAUUUUUGGUUUAACCAAAAAAAUUUGGCUUAAAAAAAUUGUU